UUAAAUUGAAGAGUUUGAUCAUGGCUCAGAUUGAACGCUGGCGGCAGGCCUAACACAUGCAAGUCGAGCGGCAGCGGGAAAGUAGCUUGCUACUUUUGCCGGCGAGCGGCGGACGGGUGAGUAAUGCCUGGGGAUCUGCCCAGUCGAGGGGGAUAACAGUUGGAAACGACUGCUAAUACCGCAUACGCCUACGGGGGGAAAGGAGGG
rnacentral:rRNA from 1 species